ensembl:snRNA U6 U6 spliceosomal RNA
GUGCUUGCUUCAGCAGCACAUAUACUAAAACUGGAGCAAUACAGAGAAGAUCAGUAUGGACCCUGCACAAGAAUGACAUGCAAAUUCGUGAAGCAUUCUAUAUUUUU